AGCUUUGCCGCAAUAUAUGUCUUAGAGAGUCAGUUUCAAAAAGGAAAAAAUAGUAAAUUAGCCGUGAGAGUAUGCCGAUAGAGUAGAAACAGAUAAAAAUAAAUUGAGAGAAAGAGGAACUAAUCCAACGCAAUAUUUAUAUGAGAUCGAAAAUUGUAAAUCAGGAGAAGGAAUCGGGGAUUUGAUCAAAUUAUCUAUUUUAAGCAGGAAUAGGAUAUCAGUGAUGCGUGGGUUGAUGUGAGUUACAGUUAUUAUAAGGGUCGGCGGCUGACGCGUUUUGGCAACCUUAUUCUCCUCAUCAUUUUUGCAUGUAGAUAAAUGUGUAGUAUAUAGAGUGGUGAGAGGGUCCCACUAUUGUUCAGAAUGUUUGAAACAUGUACUUGAUAAAUAGUGGUUUUUGAAAUUAUAUAAUAUGUGUGUUUUAUUUA